UAUCCAAAGAUGAAUUACAUGUGUUUA
rnacentral:piRNA from 1 species